rnacentral:rRNA from 1 species
AUGUGAAUCGCAGACUGCUUUGAACAUCGACACCUUGAACGCAUAUUGCGGCCAUAGGCUUGCCUAUGGCCACGUCUGUCUGAGCGUCGGCUUAUAAACUAUCACUGCGCGUAAUAAGCGGUGGCUUGGGAGA